rnacentral:rRNA from 1 species
GACGAACGCUGGCGGCGUGUCUAAUACAUGCAAGUCGAACGCAGUGGGGACGGGUGAGUAACACGUGGGUAACCUCCCAUCAAAGGGGAUAACACUUGGAAACAGGUGCUAAACCGAUACUGAUGGAUGGACCCGCGGUGCAUUUGCUAGUUGGUGAGGUAACGGCUCACCAAGGCCACGAUGCCUAGCCGAACGGAGAGGGGGAUCCGCCAACCGUGGACUGAGACACGGCCCAAGAUCCUAAGGGAGGCAGAAGGAGGGAAUUUUUGGGAAUGGACGAAAGGCUGACCGAGCAACGCCGGGGGAGGGAAGAAGGUUUUCGGAUCGUAAAACUCUGGUGUUAGAGAAGCGGGAUCUAACCAGAAAGCCACGGCUAACUACGUGCCAGCAGCCGCGGUAAUUCC